UCACAGACUUGUAGAGGUUGGAAGGGGCCUCUGGGAGUCACCUGGCCCAACAUUCCUGAUCAUCCAGAGAGCUGUGCCAGCUGCACUGAACCACGUCCAGACACUUCCUGAUCAUCUCCAGGGAUGGAGAUUCCAAAGAUUCCACAUAUUCCACAUUCCCUGUGCCAUUUCAGAGAAAGAGAGACUCACGCCUUGCAGUUCACACUGAGAAACCCUCAGCCCUGUCAGCUGUUUGUGGAUGCAGCGCUUGACACCGCACAUGUCUUUAAUUCCAAAGGAAUGCAGCAGCCCUGGUGAUGCCGUGGCCAUGUCACAGGAGGCACCAGCUUUCUAUAAGGACACUGAUCUAAGGAUAAGGAAACAGCUCCAUCCAGAUCCCUCCAUGGUCCUACAGGCAGCUGGAAGCUCCCCACAGCCACCACUGGAGAUCCUCCUCACCCCCCUUAACUGGGUGUGAAACUUAUGACAGAAUAAGAAAGUCAUAAAAAUAAUAAUGAAAAA
rnacentral:lncRNA from 1 species